GACCGCGCUGCGUGACCGGGAUCCGUAACCAAACAGAGGCCAGGGCAGGCACGCGGGGGCCGGCUCUCCUGUCUGUGAGGGUUAUGGCAGGUGUCCCUGGCUACGGCCGGUGACCUCUCAUGCUCAGCUUGGGCCUCGGGGGCUGGGGGCGCUCUGGGGUGGGCUGUGCUGUGCGCUGCAGGAGGUGGAGCAGCCUCUCUGGGCCCCACACACCAGGAGCCAGGAGCAGCCCCACCCAGGGUGAGAGAGCCCCCUGGACAGACAGCACGGGUCGAUGACAGAGAGAUAGAUGGACAGCCAGAAUUGGUAGAUGAUAGACAGAUGAUAGAAUUGAUAGAUGACAGACCCCGAUUAGUGGAUUAAUCCACUUCAGCUGGGUGGUUCCUGAUUUUCUUGUACUGACCCCACAAACCAGGAGUGGGGGACACCCCGUCUCUCUGUUUGCUCUCUUCGUCUCUCGUCUCUCCGUCUUAUCUCUGUCACCAUCUCCCCGUGCCUGCGUCUCUCACAUCUCUCCUCCUCUCGUCUCUCAUCUCUGUCUCUGUCUCACCCCCCCACACCCACUAGCUCAGGGCUGGAGGGUGGUCAGGGGACCCUCUCCUGCAGGACUCCUCCCCUGGAGGUGACGUUGCAGCCACAGGAGGAGCGCACACCCCAGGAACGCCCUGUCCUCAUCCCCGGCCGCCCUGAGGCUGCAGCCCCCAGCACUCAGUGUGAACCUCACCCACUACCACCCACUCGGGUGCUCCCUGCUCCCCGUGGUGCCCGAGGCUCCGUCCCAUGGACACAGUGAAUUUAAAAGGCUCAGGCUCCACUGGGCGUGGUACCUGCCUGUCAUCCUAGAAGCUCAGGAGGCUGAGGCAGGAGGCUCACAUGUUCAAAGCCAGCCUCCGCCAAAGCGAGGCCCUGAGCAGCUCAGGGAGACCCUGUGUCUCAAUAAAAUGCAAAACAGGGCUGGGGACGGGGCUCAGGGGUCGAGGGCCCCUGAGUUCAGUCCCUGGGACCAAAAAAAAAGGGGGGGGGCUCAGCCUCCGGACUCGGGGAGAGGACAGGAAUGGCCUCUGCCCUGGAGCCUCCACAGGGGACCUGGCUGCGAUUGCUGGAUUUUAGCUCAGUAGGACCCACUGCAGACUUCGUUCCCUUGGUCCCCACAGCCUUGAGGAGCCCAGACAGCUAGACAGGGCCCCGCCUGCGCCCGCGGCCCAGGUGCCAACCGC
rnacentral:lncRNA from 1 species